rnacentral:rRNA from 1 species
UACGAGAGGUGCGAGCGUUAUUCGGAAUUAUUGGGCGUAAAGGGUGCGCAGACGGUUUGUUAAGUCAAUUGUUUAAUUCCUCGGCCUAACUGAGGAUCAGCAGUAGAAACUGAUAGACUAGAGUAUGAAAGAGGGAAGUGGAAUUCUCGGAGUAGCGGUAAAAUGCGUAGAUCUCGAGAGGAACACCGAUGGCGAAGGCGUUCUGCUAGGCCAAAACUGACACUGAGGGACGAAAGCUAGGGGAGCGAAUGGG